rnacentral:rRNA from 1 species
UGAAAUACCACCCUUUAAUGUUUGAUGUUCUAACGUGGACCCGUGAUCCGGGUUGCGGACAGUGUCUGGUGGGUAGUUUGACUGGGGCGGUCUCCUCCUAAAGAGUAACGGAGGAGCACGAAGGUUGGCUAAUCCUGGUCGGACAUCAGGAGGUUAGUGCAAUGGCAUAAGCCAGCUUGACUGCGAGCGUGACGGCGCGAGCAGGUGCGAAAGCAGGUCAUAGUGAUCCGGUGGUUCUGAAUGGAAGGGCCAUCGCUCAACGGAUAAAAGGUACUCCGGGGAUAACAGGCUGAUACCGCCCAAGAGUUCAUAUCGACGGCGGUGUUUGGCACCUCGAUGUCGGCUCAUCACAUCCUGGGGCUGAAGUAGGUCCCAAGGGUAUGGCUGUUCGCCAUUUAAAGUGGUACGCGAGCUGGGUUUAGAACGUCGUGAGACAGUUCGGUCCCUAUCUGCCGUGGGCGCUGGAGAACUGAGGGGGGCUGCUCCUAGUACGAGAGGACCGGAGUGGACGCAUCACUGGUGUUCGGGUUGUCAUGCCAAUGGCACUGCCCGGUAGCUAAAUGCGGAAGAGAUAAGUGCUGAAAGCAUCUAAGCACGAAACUUGCC